UAUACAAAGUCCUUUCCCUUAGGCACAGACAUCUGACUUUAUGCCUCUCCAGAAGAGCUAACCGAACAAUCUGGUAUCAGUCUAGUGAAGUGUUGAUGUGGGAGGAUAACUAAGACAGGCCCUAUGUAUGGGAGAUUUAUUUUCAUUGUAAACAAAACAUUGCCAUAAAUUCCUGAAAAGGGGAAUAAACAGCAGAAGCCAAGAUGAAAGCCUAUGAGAGCUGCUAUCAUAAGGGAUCAGUCACAUUCUCUCAGUGCAGGGGGAUUGUUGGUGUCUUCAUUCCAAAAUGUGUGGAUGGAUGAUCUAAGAGCACUGAGAUGAACACGCUGUUCAUUUCCUGGGUGUGACUCUCAGUGGUUAACAAUAGGUGUACCCCAGUUCCUGAACCCCUUUGAAGUGUUCCCUUGUAGUAUGCUGCUCCUUCUUCAGUGAACACUCACAGAAAUACCAGGUCUGCUGUCUCCAAAGGAAUAGUGUACACACCAGCUUGUAUGAUUCAACUCAGGAUCAGCUCAUAUAAGACCAUAGCACUGAGAUAUAUUUAUAGUGAAAAUAGCAAUGAGGUUUUUUUUUUAUCAAGGAUUCAAGAAAUAGUUAGUAAGGAUAAUGGAACUAAGUUACAUAUGAAACAAAAUCAUACACACUUUCUACAGACUAAAUAUAACAGGCUAACCUCCUGUCUAAAGAAGACUCGUCUUACUCAGUCUUUUGCAGCAUUUUCCACUAACAUAGGCAGUUACAUUUUCAUGAAUGUAAACACAUUCACUUCCUAGGUGCAGGAUAAAGGGGCGUCAUCUUUGUCUUCUAUUUAUAUCCCUGUCUGUACUCCAACAGGGCAGCAGCACUCAGGAAAAUAAGCUACAGAGCUUACAAUGCUUAAUUUAGAGGCCAGCAGAGACAGGUGAAUAAACAUCUAUUGUCUGAAAAAGAACCUGUUUAGCUGCCUUUGUGUACAUACAUUUUGGUUCAAAACACAUUUGCAGUAAACAUACAUAACUCUUUACAUGGCAUCUGUACAUACAUUGCGCAAUUAUAUUAAUGACCAGCGUGACCCGGCCUUUUAUUUAAGACUAAGGAUGAUUUGUUGAAAGAGAAUGUACAUAACAGGAUGUUCUUGUAGCCCCCUUGCCAGUGGGCAUUGAGGAGUUUUGUAGUCAAUACACAUACUCCUGCAUUACCAUUUAAAAAUAAAAUCACUUCAUACCUUCAAGGCCUGACUUUGAGAUCAGUCUCAAUCUGGUCUAGGGGUGUGUGUGCGCGCGCGCUGCCUAUAGGUGUAAUGUUGCUUGGACAACUGAGCCUAGGUUGUUCUCCCAAAUAGAAUACUUGAAUAUCCAAGAGAUGUU